rnacentral:misc_RNA from 1 species
GAUGAAGAACGUAGUGAAAUGCGAUAAUUAAUGUGAAUUGCAGAAUUCAGUGAAUCAUCGAAUCUUUGAACGCACAUUGCGCCCGCUAGUAUUCUGGCGGGCAUGCCUGUUCGAGCGUCAUUUCAACCAUCAAGCCCCCGGCUUGCGUUGGAGCCCUGCGGCUGCCGCAGGCUCCCAAAUCCAGUGGCGGGCUCGUCGUCGUACCGAGUGCAGUAAACAUCCUCGCUCAGGGAACGUGACGGGUUCUUGCCGUGAAACCCCCCACAUAUCAAGGUUGACCUCGGAUCAGGUAGGAAUACCCGCUGAACUUAAGCAUAUCAAUAAGCGGAGGA